UACGAAGGGGGCUAGCGUUGCUCGGAAUGACUGGGCGUAAAGGGCGCGUAGGCGGUUUGUACAGUCAGAUGUGAAAUUCCUGGGCUCAACCUGGGGGCUGCAUUUGAUACGUAUGGACUGGAGUGAGGAAGAGGGUCGUGGAAUUCCCAGUGUAGAGGUGAAAUUCGUAGAUAUUGGGAAGAACACCGGUGGCGAAGGCGGCGACCUGGUCCUUUACUGACGCUGAGGCGCGAAAGCGUGGGGGGCAAACAGG
rnacentral:rRNA from 1 species